rnacentral:rRNA from 1 species
UACGAAGGGGGCUAGCGUUGUUCGGAAUUACUGGGCGUAAAGCGCACGUAGGCGGUUCGAUCAGUCAGGGGUGAAAUCCCAGGGCUCAACCCUGGAACUGCCUUUGAUACUGUCGAUCUGGAGUAUGGAAGAGGUGAGUAGAAUUCCGAGUGUAGAGGUGAAAUUCGUAGAUAUUCGGAGGAACACCAGUGGCGAAGGCGGCUCACUGGGCCAGUACUGACGCUGAGGUGCGAAAGCGUGGGGAGCAAACAGG